rnacentral:rRNA from 1 species
UACGAAGGGGGCUAGCGUUGCUCGGAAUCACUGGGCGUAAAGCGCACGUAGGCGGCUUCUUAAGUCAGGGGUGAAAUCCUGGAGCUCAACUCCAGAACUGCCUUUGAUACUGAGAAGCUUGAGUCCGGGAGAGGUGAGUGGAACUGCGAGUGUAGAGGUGAAAUUCGUAGAUAUUCGCAAGAACCCCAGUGGCGAAGGCGGCUCACUGGCCCGGUACUGACGCUGAGGUGCGAAAGCGUGGGGAGCAAACAGG